ACGAACGCUGGCGGCGUGCUUAACACAUGCAAGUCGAACGGAAAGGCCCUGCUUGCAGGGUACUCGAGUGGCGAACGGGUGAGUAACACGUGGGUGAUCUGCCCUGCACUUCGGGAUAAGCCUGGGAAACUGGGUCUAAUACCGGAUAGGAGCCAUUUUUAGUGUGAUGGUUGGAAAGUUUUUUCGGUGUAGGAUGAGCUCGCGGCCUAUCAGCUUGUUGGUGGGGUAAUGGCCUACCAAGGCGGCGACGGGUAGCCGGCCUGAGAGGGUGGACGGCCACAUUGGGGCUGGGAUGAGGCCCAGACUCCUACGGGAGGCAGCAGUGGGGAAUAUUGCACAAUGGGCGCAAGCCUGAUGCAGCGACGCCGCGUGGGGGAUGACGGCCUUCGGGUUGUAAACUCCUUUCGCUAGGGACGAAGCUUUUUGUGACGGUACCUAGAUAAGAAGCACCGGCUAACUACGUG
rnacentral:rRNA from 1 species